ACGUCGUCCGAAAUAACUUCACUCGGGCCGCGCCCUCGUGUAAUUAUUACGCCCGACGUAUAACCGCCCAUUGUGUAUAAAUAGUGAUAAAGCACUGUUUUGCUAUAAAUUAUUUCUUAAUUAAAUCUCCAGACGCUGCAUUAUCUAUUUUAUCUUCAUAAACCAUUUCCAAAAUGUUUACAUCUAUAAAAUUUAGGUCAAAUUUGAAACCUGAUUAUUUCAGUUCAAAAAUUAGGUCAAAUCAUAGAUAUUUCAAAUUAGCACAGUAGAGACAACGUUCUAUAACACUUUGCGAGGAUGUUUGCACUCUGUAAUGUAGGUCAUUUUCAAAUUGGGUUAACAGAAUUCUAAAAGUUACAUUAUAAGGUUUUUAAGUUUAUAGAUAAAGCAGCUGUCAACUUAACUCUUAUGCAUAAUUAAACGGUCCUUACAAAGUAAUGGACUUUACACAGUUAGGACCAUAAAGGGAGACAAUCUUAGAUGAUUGAUUGAAUGAUAUCUUUUACGAUGUUAAUUGAUAUUCAAACCUUUGGCAAAUAUAUAAGAAAACCAAUAUUGAAAUAAGGAUUUAUUAAGAAAUAGACAUAUUUGAAGGUCAGAACAAAAAAUGCGGCAGCCAUAUUUUGAACGAGCCUUUAAACUGUGUCACUAAGUCAAACAAUGUUUUCUACAUGAACAUAAUAAAUCUUUAUCAGUCUUUGUGUGUGAAAAAUCUAGGUCAGUUUCAAAAACUUGGUUAUUUAUUUUAAACUUGACCUUAGGUCUAGAACUAGAACUUACGCUGUAGAGGAAUUGCAGUGCAUUGUAAAAACUAUAAUUUUGCCUUGCUUCCUUUUUGGAUUAUCUCCCUUUUAAGCUCACCUGGACACACAGUGUUCGGGAUGAGCUCUUGUGAACACUCGCCAUCCGUAAUUUGCCGUCCGUCUUAACUUUUCUUUAAAAGACAUAUUAUCCGAGACCAUUUGGCGGAAGUUCAUGAAACUGUCUUGAUAUGCCGUGUAUAGCCCUUUACCAAAGUUAUUUUAAUGUUGUUCCCUGCAGAACACUUAGUGCCAUUCGACGAUAAUUAAGCGGAAAAAGUGUCUACAUAUUUUUGAUUUCAUGUUUAGGAACUUGGGUGCUGCAUUAGCGGUGUUUCACCCAUUUUGUAUCAUUGCGCGUGAUUAGGAUUUUUGUGUUUAAGGUCAAGGUCAUAUCGCACUGACUCAGAAAAUGAAAAUGUUUAUGGAAGUUAUAAAGUGUAACAGUUACUUGCUUUCAGAAUUACAUAAUGAUAUGGUAAGUCUGAGAAUUUGCCCAUUGAGUUUGGGGUCAGUGACUCGAACAUCAAGGUUGCAGGGACCUGAUAUGAUUUCUGGUAAUUUUUGUGUUCUUGAACAAAGAAACUAUAAAAGCUUUAGUUUGCUCAUUUUUCUUGUUCACGAGGCAAUUUUUUAUUGUCUGUUUGGUUUGUAGGUUAAAGGUCAGGGUCAUUGUUGAAAGAACCGGCUACCUAGCCACUGCCUAUUGAUAAUUUGUUGAAUAUUGUAUUCCAUAUAGCGACCUAAAUAUUUUGUGCAUGUAUGCACAAUGUCAGUAUUAUAUUGUUUUAUCUGUUCAGGGAUUUAAAAACAUUAAAAUAUUUACAGAUUUAUAUUAUUUCUUAAAUGACAAAAAAGAAUGUACGCAUCUUAGAAUUCUGUAUCUGAAUAAAUUUUCAUUAAGUGUGAAACGCUACCUUAAUGAUAUGACUUGUCCUGCUCAUUUAGCAGAGCCUUAACUUGCAGGUUAAAGGUUUAUAGUAUCAAUUUUUUGUCUGUUUUUUUUUCUCGUCAAGUUUGUGAUGUUGUACUGUAUAUAAUAUUUCAGCAGAUUAUUUUCUGUUUGAAAGUAGUCCAAAAUGUAGUUCCUUUUUUAUGAAAUCUGGUAUAAUGAGUCAUAAGUGACAGGAUGUGACAGUGAUAUUUUGGCUUAGUUUUAUUGCUUAUUGUAUUGAGAAAUAUUUGGAGCAUUGGAGCAUUUUCGUUGUGAAUUUCCUUGAGUAAGUUUUAUUCUUUGAGAAAAUGUCUACAUACACGUAAUUGCUAAACAGCUGUUUUCCUAGGGCAAUUUUAGAGGGAGGUGUUUCUCAGAACGAAUUAUUUUUCUUGUAAAUAACAUAACAUGUUGAUAUUUUUCUAUUUUUGAUAAGAGGGUAUAUCGUACUUUAUGAGCAAAUAUGGUUUUCAUAUCAUUAAAAUACUCUACAGAGUUUAAAAUAAGGUCUUAAUAUUUCAUUGUUUAUAUGAAGUAAAGAAUGAACUGAAUUGCCAGAAUGUAACCCAGAAGUUGAGCAGGGGUAAAAUGUGAAACUUGCUUAGGUAUGGCUGUUAAUGGGCUAGUUUGGCCAUAUUAUGAUAGAAUUAGGGUGUAUUUUGUUCUAAAAAUGCAUGUUUACUGACUAAAUAAUGCUAAAUUUUAGGUGUCAGGGCUAAGUUCAGGUAUAUUUCACAGUAAAAGUGAGUGCAGUUUACUGUAAACAAAUAACAGAAUAUGGCAAGAAUAAGCCUCAGCAAGGAGAAGUGGUCAUAAAUUAUUUGGCAACAGGUUUUUCUAAGGAAAUUUGGCAGACUAGCAUACGUUACUGAAAAUUGUAUGAAGAUAAAGAAUGAAAUGAAUUGGUAGAAUGUAACCUUGUAUGAGUCGGAAUUUAGCCCGAGUUGCCUUGUCAUAAAAACAACAAACUUUCCUUCCGUUUUGAUCAAUAUUCUCCACAGAGGAAUUCAUACUUAACAACCGUUUAUCUAAAUCACAGAGGAAUUCAUACUUAACAACCGUUUAUCUAAAUCACAGAGGAAUUCAUACUUAACAACCGUUUAUCUAAAUCACAGAGGAAUUCAUACUUAACAACCGUUUAUCUAAAGCUUAAUAAAUACACUGUGUAAGGCAGUGUUAGCAUUUUUGUUAUACUUAUGUCAAGAGAAAAGUAAAGUUGUCUGUUUACCCGCGUAUUGGCUUUAUUGUGUAUAUUUUUGAUAACGUUUACCGGGCCCGGGUAGUAGUCUGGGUCAUUAUAGGCACAGAAUUUCAGGAAAUGCUAUAUAAAGUACAGUUCAUACAAUAUUUUAUGAUGACAUAUGUCGGGCAGUAGUUUGGUAAUCAUAGGCGCAGAACUGCAUGAAAUGUCAUAUUAAAUGUAGUUCAUAGAAUAAUUUAUGAUGAUACAAAUUAUGCCGGGCAAUAGUCUUGAAUAUCAUAUUCAGUACAGUUCAUACAAUAAUUUAUGAUGACAUAUGCCGGGCAAUAGUCUUGAAUAUCAUAUUCAAUACAGUUCAUAGAAUAAUUUAUGAUGAUAUAUGUCGGGCAGUAGUCUUGAAUAUCACAUUCAA
rnacentral:lncRNA from 1 species